GAGGCUUAGGUGUUAGUGGCAGCACUUCCGGCUCUUAACCGGAGUGUGAGGGUUCGAGCCCCUCAGGCCUCA
rnacentral:tRNA from 1 species